GCAACUGAAACUGUGCCCAGUUUUGCUGCUGUUACAGCCUGGCAAGGAAGGUGAAGACCCGGAGCGCGUGCCUCGCUGAGCUACGUGAAUGUGACUGUCAGGACUUUCUGCUGCUUUGAGCAUCGCUUGUCUGGUCCUGUGCUGGGACAUCUCAGCAGCCCCAGGGUCAUCUCCUGUUGUGUCUUCUGCUAGCUUUGUGAGCUGGAUCCCGGCCUAUAGUCCAGGCCCCCAGUGGCGGGAAGGCAUCAUCUUGGGAUGUGCAGCUGCAGGAAUGGCGUAGUGCAGGAUCUCCAUGACCUGCACAGACGGGGUCACCUGGUUCAAGGGCAGCCUUUGAAGCAGCUUCAGAAGAACUCCAGGGCAUGAUGGGAAUCACAUCACACUCUGACCUCCGCGGAGAUUUACACUGAUACUCAGGACCUGCAGCCAGGACUCCCGGGAAACCUGAAUCUUAGACUUUUGAGCAGAGCAAGGAGAAAAUGUCACAAACACAAGGGAGAGAAAAUGGAAGAUCUUUAUGCUCAAACACUAAAUUCACUGGAGGCUGAAAAACACAAAAGGUAAGUUGACAUUAAA